CGGAGGAUCCAAGCGUUAUCCGGAUUUAUUGGGUUUAAAGGGUGCGUAGGCGGAAUUGUAAGUCAGUGGUGAAAGCCUGCAGCUUAACUGCAGAACUGCCAUUGAUACUGCAAAUCUUGAGUACAUUUGAAGUGGGCGGAAUGUGUCAUGUAGCGGUGAAAUGCAUAGAUAUGACACAGAACACCGAUUGCGAAGGCAGCUCACUAAACUGUAACUGACGCUGAGGCACGAAAGCGUGGGGAUCGAACAGGAUU
rnacentral:rRNA from 1 species